UCACCUGUUUUUCAAAAACAUGUCUUAAAGAUAAUAAUUUUAAGUCUAAUCUGCUCAAUGAAUUUUAAAUUUUUUAAUAGCUGCAGUAUCAAUAACUGUACUAAGGUAGCAUAAUAACUUGUUUUUUAAUUUUAAACUAGAAUGAAAGAUUAAAUGAAAUAUAAACUGUCUCAAAAUAAAUUUAUAAAAUUAUUAUUUAAGUAAAAAAACUUAAAUAAAUUUUAAAGACGAAAAGACCCUAAAGAAUUUUAAUAUUUUUAUUAAUAAUUUAAAUUUUAAAUUAAAAUAAUUUAAUUGGGGAAAUUUAAAAAUUUAAUUAAUUUUUUAUUAAAUUAAACAUUAAUUUUUGAAUAAAUAAUAUUUUUUUAAAAAAAAAAAUUAAAUUACCUUAGGGAUAACAGCAUAAUUUUAAUAAAAAGUUCAAAUUUAUAUUAAAGUUUAUGACCUCG
rnacentral:rRNA from 1 species